rnacentral:rRNA from 1 species
GACGAACGCUGGCGGCGUGCCUAAUACAUGCAAGUAGAACGCUGAAGACUGGUGCUUGCACUAGUCAGAUGAGUUGCGAACGGGUGAGUAACGCGUAGGUAACCUACCUCAUAGCGGGGGAUAACUAUUGGAAACGAUAGCUAAUACCGCAUGACAAUUAAGUACUCAUGUACUAAAUUUAAAAGGAGCAAUUGCUUCACUAUGAGAUGGACCUGCGUUGUAUUAGCUAGUUGGUGAGGUAACGGCUCACCAAGGCCACGAUACAUAGCCGACCUGAGAGGGUGAUCGGCCACACUGGGACUGAGACACGGCCCAGACUCCUACGGGAGGCAGCAGUAGGGAAUCUUCGGCAAUGGGGGCAACCCUGACCGAGCAACGCCGCGUGAGUGAAGAAGGUUUUCGGAUCGUAAAGCUCUGUUGUUAGAGAAGAACGGUAAUGGGAGUGGAAAAUCCAUUACGUGACGGUAACUAACCAGAAAGGGACGGCUAACUACGUGCCAGCAGCCGCGGUAAU